rnacentral:rRNA from 1 species
UUUGUCUUUAUGGCAAAUGUGAGAUGCAGUGUAUGGAAUGUCAAAUUCCUAAUAUGAGAAAUUAACGAUUUAAGUCCUUCUUAAAUGAGGCCAUUCACCCAUAGAGGGUGCCAGGCCCGUAUAACGUUAAUGAUUAUUAGAUGACAUUUCCAAAGAGUCGUGUUGCUUGAUAGUGCAGCACUAAGUGGGUGGUAAACUCCAUCUAAAACUAAAUAUAACCAUGAGACCGAUAGUAAACAAGUACCGUGAGGGAAAGUUGAAAAGAACUCUGAAUAGAGAGUUAAAUAGUACGUGAAACUGCUUAGAGGUUAAGCCCGAUGAACCUGAAUAUCCAUUAUGGAAAAUUCAUCAUUAUGAUUUAAAUAUAUUAUAAUAAUGGUGUGCAUUUUUUCUAUAAAGGACAUUGUAAUCUAUUAACAUAUAUAUUUAUCAUACGAUCAGCGUUAGUUUAUUCAAAUUAUUUUGCUUGCAAUUUAACAUAGAAUAAAUGCAUAUGAUUUGAUAAAGUGUUGAUAGAUUUUAUAUAUAGUGCUUAAAAUAUUUUAUAAUAUCAUAUUAAUUAUUCAUUUUUAUGUUUAUUAUAUGCACUUAUAUGAUUAACAAUGCGAAAGAUUCAGGAUACCUUCGGGACCCGUCUUGAAACACGGACCAAGGAGUCUAACAUAUUUGCAAGUUAUUGGGUAAAACCUAAUAGCGAAAUUAACAUAACAUAAUGGGAUUAGUUUUUAGUUUAUUGAUUCAAUCCCGGGGCGUUCUAUACAGUUAUGUAUAAUAAUAUUUAUAUUAUUUAUACCUCUAACUAGAGCGUACCUUGAGCAUAUAUGCUGUGACCCGAAAGAUGGUGAACUAUACUUGAUCAGGUUGAAGUCA